UUCGGGUCUAGUGGCGCACGGGUGCGUAACGCGUGGGAAUCUGCCCUUGGGUUCGGAAUAACAGUUGGAAGCGACUGCUAAUACCGGAUGAUGACGUAAGUCCAAAGAUUUAUCGCCCAAGGAUGAGCCCGCGUAGGAUUAGCUAGUUGGUGGGGUAAAGGCCUACCAAGGCGACGAUCCUUAGCUGGUCUGAGAGGAUGAUCAGCCACACUGGGACUGAGAUACGGCCCAGACUCC
rnacentral:rRNA from 1 species